CGAGUCGGCCGGGCGGCCGCGGCGCACGGAACGACCGGUCACCGGGCACGCCGUGUGCCGAGGAAAGUCCGGACUCCACGGAGCAGGGUGGUUGUCAACGGCAACCCGGGGUGACCCGCGGGACAGUGCCACAGAAAACAGACCGCCGACGGCAUCUCGGUGCCGCAGGUAAGGGUGAAACGGUGCGGUAAGAGCGCACCAGCGACGCGGGUGACCGCGCCGGCUAGGUAAACCCCACCCGGAGCAAGGCUGAAGCCCGCACCUUCCCGGUGCGGGUGCGCAGGUGUUCGAGGGCUGCUCGCCCGAGCCUGCGGGUGGGCCGCUUGAGGUACCCGGUGACGGUGUGCCCAGAUGGAUGGUCGCCGCCCACGCCUGGCGUGGGCACAGGAUCCGGCUUACACGCCGACUCGUUCG
rnacentral:RNase_P_RNA from 1 species